AGAGUUUGAUCCUGGCUCAGGACGAACGCUGGCGGCGCGCCUAACACAUGCAAGUCGAACGAGAGAUCAAGAGCUUGCUCUUCAGAUCGAGUGGCGAACGGGUGAGUAACGCGUGAGGAACCUGCCUCAAAGAGGGGGACAACAGUUGGAAACGGCUGCUAAUACCGCAUAAGCCCACGGCUCGGCAUCGAGCAGAGGGAAAAGGAGCAAUCCGCUUUGAGAUGGCCUCGCGUCCGAUUAGCUAGUUGGUGAGGUAACGGCCCACCAAGGCAACGAUCGGUAGCCGGACUGAGAGGUUGAACGGCCACAUUGGGACUGAGACACGGCCCAGACUCCUACGGGAGGCAGCAGUGGGGAAUAUUGCACAAUGGGGGAAACCCUGAUGCAGCGACGCCGCGUGGAGGAAGAAGGUCUUCGGAUUGUAAACUCCUGUUGUUGAGGAAGAUAAUGACGGUACUCAACAAGGAAGUGACGGCUAACUACGUGCCAGCAGCCGCGGUAAAACGUAGGUCACAAGCGUUGUCCGGAAUUACUGGGUGUAAAGGGAGCGCAGGCGGGAGAACAAGUUGGAAGUGAAAUCCAUGGGCUCAACCCAUGAACUGCUUUCAAAACUGUUUUUCUUGAGUAGUGCAGAGGUAGGCGGAAUUCCCGGUGUAGCGGUGGAAUGCGUAGAUAUCGGGAGGAACACCAGUGGCGAAGGCGGCCUACUGGGCACCAACUGACGCUGAGGCUCGAAAGUGUGGGUAGCAAACAGGAUUAGAUACCCUGGUAGUCCACACCGUAAACGAUGAUUACUAGGUGUUGGAGGAUUGACCCCUUCAGUGCCGCAGUUAACACAAUAAGUAAUCCACCUGGGGAGUACGACCGCAAGGUUGAAACUCAAAGGAAUUGACGGGGGCCCGCACAAGCAGUGGAGUAUGUGGUUUAAUUCGA
rnacentral:rRNA from 1 species